rnacentral:rRNA from 1 species
UGGGGGAUAUUGCACAAUGGGGGAAACCCUGAUGCAGCGACGCCGCGUGGAGGAAGAAGGUCUUCGGAUUGUAAACUCCUGUUGUUGAGGAAGAUAAUGACGGUACUCAACAAGGAAGUGACGGCUAACUACGUGCCAGCAGCCGCGGUAAUA